rnacentral:rRNA from 1 species
GAUGAACGCUGGCGGCGUGCCUAAUACAUGCAAGUCGAGCGAACGGACGAGAAGCUUGCUUCUCUGAUGUUAGCGGCGGACGGGUGAGUAACACGUGGAUAACCUACCUAUAAGACUGGGAUAACUUCGGGAAACCGGAGCUAAUACCGGAUAAUAUUUUGAACCGCAUGGUUCAAAAGUGAAAGACGGUCCUGCUGUCACUUAUAGAUGGAUCCGCGCUGCAUUAGCUAGUUGGUAAGGUAACGGCUUACCAAGGCAACGAUGCAUAGCCGACCUGAGAGGGUGAUCGGCCACACUGGAACUGAGACACGGUCCAGACUCCUACGGGAGGCAGCAGUAGGGAAUCUUCCGCAAUGGGCGAAAGCCCGACGGAGCAACGCCGCGUGAGUGAUGAAGGUCUUCGGAUCGUAAAACUCUGUUAUUAGGGAAGAACAUAUGUGUAAGUAACUGUGCACAUCUUGACGGUACCUAAUCAGAAAGCCACGGCUAACUACGUG